CCAGAGAACUUAGCAGAGAUGCUUUGGUGCCUUCGGGAACUCUGAGACAGGUGCUGCAUGGCUGUCGUCAGCUCGUGUUGUGAAAUGUUGGGUUAAGUCCCGCAACGAGCGCAACCCUUAUCCUUUGUUGCCAGCGGCUCGGCCGGGAACUCAAAGGAGACUGCCGGUGAUAAACCGGAGGAAGGUGGGGAUGACGUCAAGUCAUCAUGGCCCUUACGGCCAGGGCUACACACGUGCUACAAUGGCGCAUACAAAGAGAAGCGACCUCGCGAGAGCAAGCGGACCUCACAAAGUGCGUCGUAGUCCGGAUUGGAGUCUGCAACUCGACUCCAUGAAGUCGGAAUCGCCAGUAAUCGUAGAUCAGAAUGCUACGGUGAAUACGUUCCCGGGCCUUGUACACACCGCCCGUCACACCAUGGGAGUGGGUUGCAAAAGAAGUAGGUAGCUUAACCUUCGGGAGGGCGCUUACCACUUUGUGAUUCAUGACUGGGGUGAAGUCGUAACAAGGUAGGCGUAGCGAG
rnacentral:rRNA from 1 species